rnacentral:rRNA from 1 species
UACGUAGGGUGCAAGCGUUAAUCGGAAUUACUGGGCGUAAAGCGUGCGCAGGCGGUUGUGCAAGACCGAUGUGAAAUCCCCGGGCUUAACCUGGGAAUGGCAUUGGUGACUGCACGGCUAGAGUGUGUCAGAGGGGGGUAGAAUUCCACGUGUAGCAGUGGAAUGCGUAGAGAUGUGGAGGAACACCGAUGGCGAAGGCAGCCCCCUGGGUCAAGAUUGGCGCUCAUGCACGAAAGCGUGGGGAGCAAACAGG